rnacentral:lncRNA from 1 species
ACCACCUCUACUGCAUUGUGCAUAGGACCCUCCUUUCUAUCACUGUGGCCACAGAGAACCAAUGCACAAAAGCAAGUUUGUGGCUGGAAUUUGCUGUUCCUUUUCUGUCCAGAUGGUCACUUGCAGCCCCACUUGACCUCUCAAGUACAGACUCUGGACUCAAAAGCAGGAAUUAGCAGGCUUCAUAUUCUCCUUUGCAGCAAACUGUGAAGAGUUUCAGCAGGAGGUUGGCUUCAGGGAGAGGCAAUGUUUUGGAACACAUUGCAAAAGACACUUGCAAGAAAGCAUGGAUCUGCUAGCUCAUACAAAAGUCAGACAUUAGUUGUCCCAAGCCUUCCUGGAAGACGCCUUUCAAAACCGAUUUGUUCCAUAUCCACUUUGAGUUGUGUAGAAGAAAAGCUAUACAGAGAGAGAGCUGAGCCUGGCGGAGCUGGCUGCUUGAGACGGAUUCUUUGCGGCACUGGGAUAAAUGAUUCUGUCACUCCCAGGAAACGGAGCCCUGGAUCUGAACUGUUGUCUUCAAAAGGACUUGGAUUUAUCUGUUUCCGGCAUGAGAAAGCUCAGCAGCAACUAAAGGAGAGGAGGAGAUACCAGAAAUAUCACAGACAAAUACUGCUGAAAUGUGUAAUUCUCACACACCAUGGCGAUGAACUUGCUGCGUGCACCAAUGGAGAACUAUGGCAAAGAGCUAAGAAAGGCACCCUGGACUUAAAUCCUACUGACUAA